rnacentral:rRNA from 1 species
UACAGAGGGUGCGAGCGUUGUUCGGAAUUAUUGGGCGUAAAGGGCGCGUAGGCGGUGCGGUAAGUCACCUGUGAAAUCUCCUGGCUCAACUGGGAGCUUGCAGGCGAAACUGCCGUGCUGGAGUGUGGGAGAGGUGCGUGGAAUUCCCGGUGUAGCGGUGAAAUGCGUAGAUAUCUGGAGGAACACCGGUGGCGAAGGCGGCAUCCUGGACCAAUAUUGACGCUGAGGAGCGAAAGCCAGGGGAGCAAACGGG